rnacentral:lncRNA from 1 species
CAGGUGUAUGAAGGACAAAAGUUGAUCUAACUGCCCUCGGAUGUGGCUCGGUGGGAGGACGCUUGACCAGCAGACUGCCAGGUUUCUAUUAUUUAAACACAUGGACAAUAAGUCCCAUGCUAUGCAGAGAAAAUUUAGCCUUAAGUGAGCCCACCAUUUGCUAGAGGUUUUAAAUCACCAGCUGCUGCCUUUGAGUUUAAUCAUCUCGUCCUGGAAACCCCAAAGCAGGAAAAGAAGCUGUUACCCUGGGGGAAAUGCCACUGUGUGGCAGCAGAUCACUUAGAAGGACACAGCUUUCACUCAAUGUUUCAGGUCUGCUACCAUUCUCUGAUGAAAGUUGGGGGCUCAGACAGAAGCCGGUUCUGAAGAGGGCAAAGAAAACUAUAUGGGCUAUAUGGUUUGAGAAGAGGAGAAAAGCCCAAGGCAGGGAUUCCUUGCCUAGGAAAGGAAGAGAAAGCUGGCUAGUGCAGCAUUUGACGAUGGUGGAAGAAAGCUGCACCUACUUUCAUGAAAUAAAUGGACCUGGACCCACAGCCCCUAUGGUAGUGGCUUGGCAGCUGAACAAAGGCGGCAGCGUUCCUACAUCCAGUUUGUAAAGCCUCAGAAGUUGCAGGCUCCAACUGUUUUUUUUUUUUUUUCCUUUUUCAAGGAACCCAUGUCAACUAUAAUGAGCGCAUUUUCGAUGUUGUGCUGAAAGCUGGCAAUGGAUGAAGCAAGAACAUAAAAGAAGCCUAUGUCCAAGGCAAAUAUUUCCUUUACAAACCUUAAGAAUGAAGUGGCCUUCAUAAUCAAUUUUAAGAUCAAAUGCCUGGGCUGAAGUACCUGGUUCUGGCACUCAUUAGCUAUAAUUUGGGACAAUUAAUUUAUCUCUGAACAGUUGCUUUCUCAACUGAAAAAUGGGGCUAAUACCUGCCCAAGUUUUCCUGGGAAAUAAACGAGAUAAUGAAGGUGCUCUGUCA